GAUGAACGCUGGCGGCAUGCCUAAUACAUGCAAGUCGAGCGGCAGCGCGAGUAGUUUACUACUUGGCGGCGAGCGGCGGACGGGUGAGUAACGCGUGAGCAACCUGCCCUGUACAGGGGGAUAGCCACUGGAAACGGUGAUUAAUACCCCAUAAACCCACAAGAUCGCAUGGUCAAAUGGGCAAAGUUCCAACGGUACAGGAUGGGCUCGCGUCUGAUUAGCUAGUUGGUGAGGUAAUGGCUCACCAAGGCGACGAUCAGUAGCCGACCUGAGAGGGUGAACGGCCACACUGGAACUGAGACACGGUCCAGACUCCUACGGGUGGCAG
rnacentral:rRNA from 1 species